GACGAACGCUGGCGGCGUGCUUAACACAUGCAAGUCGAACGGAAAGGCCCCCUUGUGGGGUACGCGAGUGGCGAACGGGUGAGUAACACGUGAGUAACCUACCCUUGACUUUGGGAUAACUUCAGGAAACUGGGGCUAAUACCGGAUAGGAGCUCCUGCUGCAUGGUGGGGGUUGGAAAGUUUCGGCGGUGGGGGAUGGACUCGCGGCUUAUCAGCUUGUUGGUGGGGUAGUGGCUCACCAAGGCUUUGACGGGUAGCCGGCCUGAGAGGGUGACCGGCCACAUUGGGACUGUGAGACGGCCCAGAAUCCUACGGGGGGCAGCAGUGGGGAAUAUUGCACGAUGGGCGGAAGCCUGAUGCAGCAACGCCGCGUGCGGGAUAACGGCCUUCGGGUUGUAAACCGCUUUCGCCUGUGACGAAGAGUGAGUGACGGUAAUAGGUAAAGAAGCACCGGCUAACUACGUG
rnacentral:rRNA from 1 species